GUCAAAAUUGGUCUUAGGGUUAGGACAACCCCCAUUUCUCCAUUAUUUGCUCUUUCAAUACUCAAACAAUUCAUUUUUGAGUCAAAAUUGGUCUUAGGGUUAGUUUUGCUCCAUUCAAUUGAUACACAAUAUUCAUAAGAGUAGAAUCGGUAUUCUCUAAGGGUUGUUGUCUUCUCCGUUCAAUAUCAUUUGCUCCGUUCAAGGAAUCGGUAUUCUCUGAGCUAUUAAUGAUCUACAAUGUCCCUGAUUUUCAAGUUUUGCUAUUUAUGAGCGUUGCUAUUUCUCUGCCGACUUACUAAUUUUCUCUCUGACAAAUAGUAAAUUUAGUGUUUCUUCUCUGAUUUUACUUCUUUGGUGAAAGAUCUUCUUCUCAGGUAGGUCUUAUAUCCGUGAGAGUUUUAUAUUUAUGAAUUUUAUUCUUCGAAUCAUUGAAAAAAUUUGCAAGUAAGAAUCAAUGAAUAUAUUGUUUGUAAUUUGGCUUGCAUGUGUUUUUUUUUUUUUCAUAAUUGAAAGAAUUUUUGAGUAAAUUUUGUUUUUUGAAUCAGUUUUGUUGUAUUUUUCCCUUUCUAUCGAUGAAAGUACGGUAUAAAGGUGAAAUUUUUAAUCCAUUUUUUAAUUUUAGUUAGGUGAACAGAUUUGAUAUGAGAAUUAAUUUCUUGUUGUAUUUUAGUUGAUUGGUAUAAGAAAUAGUAUAUUAUUGUAUUUUUUCCUUUCUGCAGGGCCACACAUUAUUUUUCAAAUCUUGUCGAUUUUAGUUGUAUUUUAGUUGAUUGGUUUGAUAGAGAUUUUACUGCUCAACAACUUGUUGAGUGGCUGCCUCCCUUAUGAACUAGGAUUCUUGAACCAAGCAGUAGUUUUUGAUGCUGGCAAUAACAGGAUCAUCGGUCCAUUUCCAUUCUCAUUAGGCUACUUAGAAAAUGUUGAAUCUUGAACUUUGCUGGAAAUCCAUUGUAUGGUAUAGUCCCUGAUGUGAUUUGUUCCCUGAGAAAUUUGGUUAAUUUAUUGUUGUUCGAUAACUAUUUUAUAGGAUUUGGCCCAGUUUGUUUGAGAUUGAUAGAAAAUGCAGCGCUUGAUUUGAAGAAUAAUUAUAUUUUUAGUCUUCAAGAUCUGUAUAAUUGCAUAGCUAUCUAUUCUAGAAUUAACAAUAAUUCUUGAACUCAUUUGCUGUGAAAAGGUUUGGAUGGCCUGCUCAUUUGUCGUGGUGCUGUCAUGGUACUUUUUCUCUUCUAAGAAACAUACACAAGAUCUGUAUAAUUGCAUAGCUAUCUAUUCUAGAAUUAACAAUAAUUCUUGAACCCAUCUGCUGUGAAAAGGUUUGGAUGGCCUGCUCAUUUGUCGUGGUGCUGUCAUGGUACUUUUUCUCUUCUAAGAAACAUACACAAGGAUGUUUUGGUCCUAUGAAUCACUUUACUAUAAUUCAUUGUGGGCAUUCUUUUGUAACUACUUGGUAAAUGCUUGUGUAUAGAUCUAUCCUUGAGCUGGACAGGUAAUAUAAAGUUCUACUCCAUUUUAUUUCUUAAAAAUUGCUAUAUUAAGUAGCGUUAUGAAUUUCUAAUAUAAAGUGUUAUACAAGCAAUUAGACAUGUUAAGAAUUACUUUCUAUUAGUAUCUUUAAUAAUGCCUUAGAUAUAGCAAUCCUUGUGUAUUAUGGUUAUAUUAUAAUUAUGGAUAUUUUGUUAUCAAUUUCUUUUGAAGCUCUAAACUGUUUAGUUUUGUAUUCUUGAAAUAAUAGUAACAUUGUAGUAGCUGUUGUAUGAUGAUGAUUCCCAUUUGUGUGAUGGCAUAUUUGGUUCUUGGGAUCUGGCCCUUUCCUAAAACUCCAUGCUUAGUGAGAAUUUUAGUGCACUAGACUGCCUUUGAAAUGAUAUUAACAUUGUAGACUGCCUUCUAUUAGCUUUUUCAGUUUUACUCUUCUUCAUUAUCAUGGACAUUAUCACUUUAAAGUAUUUUUGAUGUAUUGUUGUAUCUAAACAUGUAUUGUUUGACUUUUAAGUCAAAUUGAACUGUAUUGUUAGACUGAUAUUAUUGGACUAUUUCCUUUAGAUCUAUAUUUAAGUCAUUGUUGUUGGACUAUUGUUGUAUUAUUUGAUUAAUAUUAUCCUUGUUGUUGUUGAUAUUGUAUUUGACACUACUUACAAUACAUGGAUUUUUCAGUCAUAUGUAAUGAUUUAACUAUUGUUGAAUUGUUGUUGUAUUGUUAUAUUGUUGGAAUUUUAAGUAUUUUUGUUCUAUUGUUGUAUCUAAACAUGUAUUGUUAGACUUUUAAGUUAAAUUGAACUGUAUUGUUAGACUGAUAUUGUUGGAUUGUUCCCCACAACUCCAACAAUUCAUAGGAAAUUUAGAAAAUUUUACCCAUAGAAAGUAUAUCAUUUGUAGAUAAUACUAUGUGCAAGUGUAUGCCAAAAAAGGACUUGCUGAUAAAUUUCUAAAAGGCUAAUAUUAUUUUCUCAUACAUUUUACAAUUCAUAAUCUGAUAAGAUUCAAUAUUAUUACUUUUAUGUGGCUAGAGUACUUGUUGCCAUCUAGACAUCGCAGUUACUAAAAGUCGAUCAUUUUUGUCCAAAGUGAAAUGGUUGAGACGUUGAAUAUCGACAAUUCUCGAUCAUUUUCUGAUUGCAGAUUCUUUCUCGAUUGGCAUCAUGUUAUCUAUGUUUUUGCUCUUAAUUAACAUGAAUGGACUAAUACCAUCAUGUUAUAUAUGGUUCAACAUUCUUUCUACUUUGUCAGUUUUUUCAUUUCAUCUUCCUUUUCUGAUUUCUUAAGAAUUUGUAGAAAAUCAGUACACGUGUAAAAGUCGAUUACUUAAUUCAAUCGAUGCUACUAUGAUUUCUUCUAUAUAAUAACCUCCACAUUAAUAGAAUGUUAUUGAUUACAUUACUGACCGCUAUGUCUGAUUCCUCUUAUACUUUCUUUAUCCCUCUUCAUUUUUGAUUACACUUAAUUGAUGUGAUGAGAAUUUUUUUUGGUUAUUUAUGUAUGAAUAUAAACGUGUAUGGUCAUGUUUAUAUACUCAACUAAUACUUUAAGUUUGUGAAAAUUUGAUACUUGAGAAGCCAAGUUUAAGUUUUUAUGAGUCAAAUUCUGAUUCGUAAUUAUUUUAAUUCAUUGUAGAUUGAAAACUGUUGCUUCAAUAAUUUGAUAUCUCGAUACUACACCUCUGUCUCAUCUGCUUUGGUCAUCAAGUUUGGAUAAAAAUGAAUGAACAAGGCCUUCAAAAAAUAACAAAAGAGCAAGACAUUUACUAAACCUGAAUUGUUAUUAGCCAUGACCAAUAGAAAACAACGAUUGUUGACAACAAAUAAAACUGUUCAAGCUAUACGAUCAGAGAAAGAGAAUCUUCUAAAAUUAAUUGAAGAACAACAACCACCAGUAAAUGAACCACCAUCUCAAGAAAUUGACCAAUCUAUAGUGGAGCAUCGUAUUGUAGAGAAGCAACAGACAAAUGAUGAUCAACAUGUAGAGGAUUAAGUCCAAAUGGCCGAUUCAGCCACUCUAAUAACAACUGACCAUUCUGAAGAAUAAGCUUUUUAGGCACAUUGACAAGAAAUGUGACCCUUUGCCCAUUGGAUAUAUUUGAUUGGAGGCUGAUGGAUACUAAAAAGGAUUUAUGAGAUUAUACUCAGAAAAUGUCCAAAACAAAUACUGAGAAUCGGAAGAAGCUGAUGAUCCACACAUUGCUGGAAAAAGAGAAGGUGAACUUUGUCACUGAAUGAAAUAUUUGUGGCCACAAGAGCAAGAAAACCUGAUCGUACAUACAAGGUGUCAAAUGAAAGCACCACUAGUAAAAUUGUAUGAAACUUAUCUAUUUUAAGUUUAUAUUGACAUCACUAAUCAGUUCUUAAUUUAAAAUUACUUGAAUGUGCUUUUGAAUAUGAUUUAUUAGGCUGAAAUAGAGGAAAUUAAAAUGUAACUUGGUGCAAGUGAUUAGUUUGUUGAUGCAUUUUCAGCAGUCAUGGGUUUCAAAUAUCUGAGACAUCUAAGACUGUAUGGAAGUGGGGUUACAAAGACUUCCUUUAAAAAAAUAAAUGACACUUCUAAACCAACUUUAAAUGCCACCAAUGAUGACGUGCAACAAAUCCAAGAAAGAAUGCAAAAAAUGGAGGAUCAAAUCGAGGAACAAAAGAGAAUCAUUCGAUAAGAAGUUAUUACAGAUGUAAUUGCUCAACUUUAGAAUGUAGGAUUAAUUGAUCCUAAGGUACUAGUGGUAUUUUCCAUUCCUUCAGCAAGAGAAUCUACCUCAACAUUAGCAGCUACAGGGAGAAACAAUCAAGGUUCAGAAGCACGAGCUCUAGAGCAUCAGUAGCAUUCCAGUACUCAACAGUCAGAGUCAGUA